UUUCCGUAGGUGAACCUGCGGAAGGAUCAUUAGUGAACAUAGGGACCUGACUCUGCAAAGAGGAAGCCCGAACCACACUCUUUUUCACACACCUGUGCAUUUGAAAACCUUUUUUAAAAACACCUUUUGUUGAAAAAAAGUCUUGUAAUGUCAAAAUUUGAUUUAAAAUGAAAGUAAAACUUUCAGCAAUGGAUCUCUUGGCUCUCGCAUCGAUGAAGAACGCAGC
rnacentral:misc_RNA from 1 species